GCCUCUCUCUCUCCGGGCGUUCGACACCAGCUCAGCAUCAGCUGCUUCUUCAGGAAUAAAAACUGAAGCGUUUCCGCGGUAACUGAGCAGUUAAUCAGACAGAGCAGAAAUGUGUCAACAGUCCGUCCUUCUGCCUCUGACGGGCGUUUUCUUCCUGAUCUCCUCAGUGUUUGGCUCAACGUCAG